rnacentral:ncRNA from 2 species
AUUUUAAAAGGCGAUGAGGUUCGCCAAGACUGCCCGGGGAUAAGUCGGGAUGAUAACCUCUGCUGGAAA